GUGCUCGCUUCAGCAGCACAUAUACUAAAACUUGAACAAUACAGAGAAGAUUAGCAUGGCCCCUGCGCAAAGAUGACAUGCAAAUUCGUGAAGCAGAAAAAACAAAA
ensembl:snRNA Gm24517 predicted gene, 24517